UACGUAGGGCGCAAGCGUUGUCCGGAAUUAUUGGGCGUAAAGAGCUCGUAGGCGGUUUGUCGCGUCUGCUGUGAAAUCCCGAGGCUCAACCUCGGGCCUGCAGUGGGUACGGGCAGACUAGAGUGUGGUAGGGGAGACUGGAAUUCCUGGUGUAGCGGUGGAAUGCGCAGAUAUCAGGAGGAACACCGGUGGCGAAGGCGGUUCUCUGGGCAUUACCUGACGCUGAGGAGCGAAAGUGUGGGGGGCGAACAGG
rnacentral:rRNA from 1 species